AACCUUGUAAAAUCUGUCAUCUCCAGCCUUACCAGAAGCUCCUUUCACUCAAACAGCAAAUUGGUAUCAGGACUCAUAAGAUAUCUUUCAGAUCAAUCUUUUUAAUGAAAAUGUGGCCCUCUACAAAAAAUAUUAGAUUCUGUCUCACACUUUUCACUUGCACAUUCAGGUUGUAGACUCGUUAGCAUAAGGACUUCCUACAGGCUUUCAUAACCUGCUAAAACUCCCACUAGGCAUUAUGGCCUUUACAUAUUAGAGCUGCAUAAUAUUACUAACAGAACAUGGAGGGUAAUUUACUGACAAAUGACUGUAAUUGAACACACAAUCUACCAACCAUGUUCUAACAGAAAAAAAUACGUUCUAUAUAAUGCAGAAAUACCAUAUCAAAUUUUAAAGGAGGGAAUGAAGUCAGCAAGGCAGAGUUAAUGACAUCUAUUAAUUAUAGAUAGUCCAGACAUACUCUUGUCUGGUUUGUUUUUAACUUUCAUCAACAUAGAAUCCAAAAGCUGUGCUGCUGCAUGCCAAUUCCACUGUGGAUUUUCUACCCUCAUCAUCAGCUAACUUUACUGGAGCCCAUUCUGAAUCACAGAACCAUAGAUUCUCCUCUGUUGCAGUACAUGUUCUCACCUACCCACUAAUGACAUGGAAUAAAAAUGUAUGUAUAUUCAUUUACAAGGCAGUAUCCUUUUACAUAUCUGAAGGUUGCUAUUGCAUUCCCUCUCAGUCAAUUCUUCAAGGUGCUCGUGAAUGGCCACAAAUUAUCCAGACCUCGUCUUCUCAUUUUCCCCCUUAAGGCUUCUUCUGAUUGGUUCUUCUCUUUCUGAUGUGUGAUGCUGAAAUCCAAAUAUGUUAUGCUACGCAUUUUAAAAAUUUCUCCUUCAUUGUCACAUGAGGAUUUAGGAAAUGGAAACAGAACAGACAUGGCUGACUCACAAGGACAACACAUCACAUUAACAUUAGAAAAUAGCAUGAUCU